rnacentral:misc_RNA from 1 species
GAAGUAAAAGUCAUAACAAGGUUUCCGUAGGUGAACCUGCGGAAGGAUCAUUAUUGUAUAACCGAGGUGCGAGGGCUGUCGCUGACCCGAAAGGUCGUGCACGCCCGAGUGCCCUCACACACAUCCAUCUCACCCCUAUGUGCACCACCGCGUGGGUCCCCCUUUGGCUUGUUCGGAGGGGGGCUUACGUUUUCACACAAACUCUGUAUGCAGUGUAGAAUGUAUUUUUUGUUUUUGCGAUCACGCAAUCAAUACAACUUUCAACAACGGAUCUCUUGGCUCUC